rnacentral:rRNA from 1 species
AAUCAACGCUGGCGGCGUGCCUAACACAUGCAAGUCGAACGCGAAAGUGGAGCAAUCCAUGAGUAGAGUGGCGAACGGGUGAGUAACACGUGGGUGACCUACCUUCGAGUGGGGGAUAACGUCCCGAAAGGGACGCUAAUACCGCAUAACAUCCUGCCUUUGAACAGGUGAGAUCAAAGCUGGGGAUCGCAAGACCUGGCGUUUGGAGAGGG